UACGGAGGGUGCAAGCGUUGUCCGGAUUUAUUGGGUUUAAAGGGUGCGUAGGCGGCUAUUUAAGUCAGUGGUGAAAUCCAACAGCUUAACUGUUGAACUGCCAUUGAUACUGGAUGGCUUGAGUACAGACGAGGUAGGCGGAAUUUAUGGUGUAGCGGUGAAAUGCAUAGAUACCAUAAAGAACACCGAUUGCGAAGGCAGCUUACUAGGCUGUAACUGACGCUGAGGCACGAAAGCUAGGGGAGCAAACAGG
rnacentral:rRNA from 1 species